ACAAGCAAAUUAUUUGAAUUGUGCUGAGAUGCUAAUUUAUUCACACGGUAUUUGUUCAAACUAAAUCAAUAUGUACAUUCUGUUCGGCUUGUAUCACAUUGCAUGAGGAUGUAUAACGUCAGCAUCGAUCAUUGGACAUUUUUUAUUUCUUAGUCAUUUUGUAGCACCGAGGUUGGCUUUCGAUACUCGAUACUUUUCUAAACAAAAUAUAACCUUCUGAACAUCGCUCUCGCACACCGAAAAAUUUACCCAAUCUGCAUUUUUCAGCCAUUGUAAUAUACUAGCCAUAAUAAUAUGAAUGCGGCAUUUUUAUGAUAUGAACCCAGAGAAGAUUCUCAGUCGAUUGAGUUAAUUGAAUGUGUUGAACGAAGUUGAAUGUCAGGUGCAAGAGAAGUGAUGUACAUUUCUUUUCCCACUCUUGCUCUUUCCAUCUCUCCAUCACUCGAAACACAUAUUCCAAAUUCUAUGAAUUGAUUUUUGAGAGAAAUGGACUUGACUAAUUUUGAAAUGAAACGCCAAAUUGUGAGUGGUCGAACGGAAAAAUGUGUAUGGCAUAUACGGCGGCAGUUUUUGCGAUUGAAUAACCAUUGAUACGAUUUAUAAUCAGUUCCGGUGAAAUUUACUCACCUAUGAAAAACCCUGACCAUUAAAUUAAACCGACAAGAGAAAAAGGCGAAAUAACGUAA